rnacentral:rRNA from 2 species
CCUGGUGACCAUAGCGAGUUGGAACCACCCCUUCCCAUCCCGAACAGGACCGUGAAACAACUCCGCGCCGAUGAUAGUGCGGAUUACCCGUGUGAAAGUAGGUCAUCGCCAGGC